rnacentral:SRP_RNA from 1 species
GACGGGCGUGGUGGUGCAUGCCUGUAAUCCCAGCUACUAGGGAGGCUGAGGCAGGAGAAUCUCUUGAACCUGGGAGGCAGAGGUUGCAGUGAGUCGAGAUCGUGGCAUUGCACUCCAGCCUGGGCAACUAGAGUGAAAUUCCAUCUCAGAAACAAACAAACAAACAAAAAACAGAUUGUAGAGGUAGUCUUUUAUUUUAUUGUUUUAUUUUUUAUUUUUUGAGACAGAGUCUCUCUCUGUCGCUCAGGCUGGAGUGCAGUGGCGUGAUCUCGACUCACGGCAACCUCCGCCUCCCGGGUUCAAGAGAUUCUCCUGUCUCAG